UACGUAGGUGGCAAGCGUUGUCCGGAUUUAUUGGGUUUAAAGGUGCGUAGGCGGCUUUGUAAGUCAGUGGUGAAAUAUGGCAGCUCAACUGUCAGGGUGCCAUUGAUACUGCAGAGCUUGAGUACAGAUGAGGUAGGCGGAAUUGACGGUGUAGCGGUGAAAUGCUUAGAUAUCGUCAAGAACACCGAUAGCGAAGGCAGCUUACUGGGCUGUAACUGACGCUGAGGCACGAAAGUGUGGGGAUCAAACAGG
rnacentral:rRNA from 1 species